rnacentral:rRNA from 1 species
GUGUCAGCCGCCGCGGUAAUACGUAGGGUGCGAGCGUUGUCCGGAAUUAUUGGGCGUAAAGAGCUUGUAGGCGGUUUGUCGCGUCUGCUGUGAAAAUCCGGGGCUCAACCCCGGACUUGCAGUGGGUACGGGCAGACUAGAGUGUGGUAGGGGAGACUGGAAUUCCUGGUGUAGCGGUGGAAUGCGCAGAUAUCAGGAGGAACACCGAUGGCGAAGGCAGGUCUCUGGGCCACUACUGACGCUGAGAAGCGAAAGCAUGGGGAGCGAACAGGAUUAGAUACCCUGGUAGUCC